AUGUACCACUCGUGCACUCCGGUUCCAAGCGCGCCGUCCACACGCACCGGCGGCUGGCUGCGUUUUGUUAGCC
rnacentral:sRNA from 1 species